CCUAGCAAUUCCACUUCACAGGGUGAUGGGAAUGCCCCUCUCCUGGGCCACCCCAGAUCCGACGAUCUCAGUAACCAGGACCCAUGAGGGCUGAAUCCUGGAAACACUUGAGUAUCUCUGGAGCCAGAUGAGGGGAUGACUGGGCUCCAGCGGGGUGACUCAGGGACAGGACACACCCAGAAAGAUAAGUCCUGGGACCCUUUGUCUCCUACACCCCCCCGCACAACUGCCACGGGGAGAGGCUCUGCCAGCUUCCAGCCUGAGGAGAGGGAAGUGACCUGGGCUAAACAUUAACUCGACGGCAAACACUGGGAGCUGGGACAAAGUGGUACCCGCUCCCUGGGCAGAGCAGCAGGAGGGAGAGGGUGGAGGAGCCCAGGAGAAAAACAGAUGGAUUUUGGUAGAAUGUUGGCCUCAGCGAGGAAGAAAGCCAAUAAAGACCCUCAGAGGAAACUCUGGACUUUCAACCAAAUCCAGCUCUGUCCUCUUGCUCAGUCAUAUGUCUGCCAGACCUGCCCAGUCACUUCACAGGACCGGUGCCAUCCCUCCCCCCAGACAGCCAGCAUCGCCCCCACCUGGACCAGCAGGCAACUUGGGCCCCAAAGCCUGAGGGCAGCCACCAGAGGUCUGGGCUCCUUCCCUGGGUUUCCUGGAGACAACUGAUCCCAGGAAACAGGCAAGGCGGAUUCUUUACCACUGAGCCACCAGGGAAGCCCUACCUGCACCUUAGGGCACCGAAAUUCCUGGGUCCUGAUUCUGAGCUCACACAACAUGCGGCUGUGCAGUGUCCAUGAGAACGCCUCUCAACAGUGGAAAGGCACACUCUAGGAGCCGCUGGCCUCAACCGCCCACAGUGUGUCCGCGUUUCACCAAACCAACCCUUCUGAAUCUGUCUAAAACAACUGAGUUCAGGACAACUGAGAGCCUGCACCAGGGAAGCUGGGCCCCUCUCUUGCCUCGCUGGGUGGUACCUCUGUAUGUGUUACCUGCUUGUGUAAAUUGGGGUUAAGAAUAUGGGUUUGCAGGUACUGCCAGGUCAGAUACACAGAGCAAGGACUUUUGUCCCUCUGUCUAAACCUCUGCCCCCAUCCAGCACGCUCUGGGCAGCUGGUUACCCGUCACCACUGAGGGUGUCCACCCCUCUGGCCAAAUCCACAGCAGCCCCUGAGAACAAGCCACAUGGGCGUGAGUCCCUGAACUCCAAUCAGCCUCGCAGAGGCAAGUUCAAUCCCUGUGGCUGUGCUUUUGAGGACCGAGUCUUAAAGGAGCUGCUGGGCCAGGAGGGCCUGACUCACAGGGGCUGGUGGACCCGGAGGGUGUCCUCUGGAACCCAAGAGGCCACUGGCCAGCAGGUUCUCAGCCCCCCUGUCCUCCUGUGCAGAGAAGGCUGGGGGCGGGGGAAGAACAGAAUGAGGGAGUGGGCAAGGGCUUUCUAACAGGUUACCUAUUAGUGGAUUUAGCCAGAAGGGGAGGAGGGGACAUCAGGAGAACUGCCCAAAGACAGCUGCUGGGUGAGGGCUGAGCUGAGCAGGCUUCUAGGCUUUUCCUAGAAGUCUGCAGAGCAAGCCCCUCGGGGACACCAAGGCCCCUGGAAACAGCGACUUCCUUACACAUCUCCCCAGUGCAAAGGCCCGGGAGUCUGGAGAUGGGAUGAGGGCAGGGGAGGGACAGAGGAGCGCUACAGUUCUAGGAGUAGGGAGGAAAGAACAAUUUCUUACUUUGAUCAGGUAAAGUCUGUCGUACUGGAAAGGAAACCACGAAAAUUAGGAUCGAAAAACACGGCAAGAGUCAAAAGGUUAAAGGCACACCAGAGCCACAGAGGCCGUGACACUGCACGCCCAGCGCAGGGAGCCAAGCAGGGCCGGCCUGGGUCCUACCAGACAGCCCGGUGCCCAGUUCAGGAGCUGGUGGGGCGGCGACGGCUGUGGGGCUCCCCCUGGUGGCUGCAAGCCAGCACUACAGCGUGGAAGCUGGGCGGUGGCGCCAACUAAGGGGUCCUGGAUCAGAACUGGGCCCUGAUGUCCAGCCCCGGGCUCUGGGCAGGGCUGCCCCAGCCAGGGUCAGACGCAGCAGGAUAGCCACAGAGUCACAGGAGCGAGACCUCCCCGGCUACCUAGUCCAACUGCAACGUAUUAACACACAAGGAAAUGGGGGUGCGGAGAAGGGGAGACAGACACUGUGAGUGAGGUCUGGCUCCAGCAAAAAGUGGACUAUCCGGCCCGUCUGAAGAACAUAUGAGGUCAUCUCCCCGAAGAGGUGCAGGGGACACAGGGAGCGAGGUGGCCUGGCUGUGAGGACAGUGACCACAGCUCUGGCCGCCAGACCCCUCCCUGUGGACACAUGUGGUCAACCUGAGAAAAUGCUCCACGGGGGGAGGGGGUGUUCCCACCACCAGACCCUCCUCCUCUCUUUCUCUCCCCCUUGUAGCUUUCCCUCGCUCUCUACUCCAGGCCCUGACCUGUGCAGGACCUAAUUUCUAUACCGGUGUCAUCUUCGAAGUCUGGCCCAGACCGACCAUGGCUGCAACCACGUCCCCCUGGGGUGGCAGGGAGCCCUCUCCCCACAAGUCAGUCCUUGUUAACGGCUGGGGUGUCGGUGAUGGAAUGGGGUGGGGAGGCGGGGAACUCGCUCCUUCCCCCUUCAGCUCCUCAGCAGGAAAGGGGCCGGGAUGCACUCUGGGUCCAUGCUCAGGUCCCGGUCCCUUCCAAGGCCCCACUGUGCCCCUCCACAAUCCCACUGGGAGUUCCAGCCCAGCUCUGGGCACCAGAUCUCCAUCUCAGACGUGAACUCUCCCCUGCCUUUGAAUUCACGGAGCAUCCCAACCACUCCUGUGGUCCUUAAGGUCAGGUUUGGUUUGUGGAUAAUCUGGGAACAAACAAUGUGGAUAAUCUGUGUUUCUUAUCUCUCUUCUCAGACUGGACACUGCCUGGGGGUGGGAAUCUGGUCUUCAUACUCCUUUUUGAAAGAAGAUCUACCACUUACAAGUUUUAAAAAUCCUCAUUACUGGAUGCUCCUUUCAACCCCAUCACCUGACCAGGAGGCACUCUGUGAGUGCUAUCGACCAUAAGUGCGUGCUCUGCUCGCUGAGUGCCUUGGCAGAGGGGUAAGAGGGUGAGGAAGCUCGGAGCUUGAGCUUAGGAUGGCAAAGGUGCACACCCUGUGGGCAGAGGCAGAGGAACAAUAACCAGACGCCUUGUCCAGCAACAUCUGCCCUCUCCCCAGCCAGCGGGGUGAGGCAUUCCAGAGGGGUGGACAGAGGUCAUCGCCAGACCCCGUCCGUCCCCACACAGCCCUGCCACCACUAAGCUCCCAAACCCACAGCAGACUCCUGGGGGCCUCCCCAAUUCAGGCACAGUUUCCCCCUCCUGCCCACAGCCAGCAGCCAUCGUUCAAAAUCCUCACAGCUAAGAUGAGCUUUUACCCUCAGGGUCACAGACUGCAGGAUUAGCCCUGUGACCUCUUGUUCACCCCUCAGGAAGGGGAACAGCUGUUCAUCCUGCUGCUCCCCAAAACAGAGGCUUUAGACUAUGAUGAAGUUCACCUCUCAGCUCUCUCUUCUCCAGGCAGUAGCCACCCGCUUCCCCUGUGGGUAUCAUUUCCUGAGUCCUGCUGUUCUGAAACACCUACUAUUCACCCUCUACUCCCUCUAAGUUCUCCUCAGGCCUCUCAAAUCUUGGGGUCCUGGGUAGACUCUUGGCAUGGGGUCCCUGACCUGGUCCUAUCUAUGCAGGACCUGGCAGGGGCUGUCUAUGUCCACGAGCUUCCAGUGUUGGCACCAUACCCUCUGGGAGACAGUCCCCUCUGAUCACGAGCCAGGAUCCUAAGAACACGAUGAGCCGCAGGCUGGACUGUGGGUGGAAGCAGUAAGGGGCGCUCAGGCUGAGCAAGCAGAAGGAAGGUGUGGCUAAGGUGAGCUCCUAGGGUCACUCUACUGCAUCAGGGAACUCAUGUAGGGGAAGCUGUGAGCCUCAAUCAACUCACCUGAGCAGCGGGGAUCAGGUCCCACUGCUCCACCAGAUCCGGAGCCUCCCUUCCCCAAAGGAAUGAAACUAAGCCCCGGCAGGACUCUGCUU